rnacentral:rRNA from 1 species
AUUGAACGCUGGCGGCGGGCCUAACACAUGCAAGUCGAACGAGUGGCGGACGGGUGAGUAAUGUAUUGGCACCUGCCUAAUGGAGGCAUAUAACUACUGGAAACGGUGGAUACUACCGCAUACCAUCAGAUGGGCCCUGAUGGGAUUAGCUAGUUGGUGGGGUAACGGCUCACCAAGGCGACGAUCCCUAGCUGGUCUGAGAGGAUGACCAGCCACACUGGAACUGAGACACGGUCCAGACUCCUACGGGAGGCAGCAGUGGGGAAUAUUGCACAAUGGGCGCAAGCCUGAUGCAGCCAUGCCGCGUGUAUGAAGAAGGCCUUCGGGUUGUAAAGUACUUUCAGCGGGGAGGCGUUACCCGCAGAAGAAGCACCGGCUAACUCCGUGCCAGCAGCCGCGGUAAUAC